rnacentral:rRNA from 1 species
GAUGAACGCUGGCGGCGUGCCUAAUACAUGCAAGUCGAGCGAACAGACGAGGAGCUUGCUCCUCUGACGUUAGCGGCGGACGGGUGAGUAACACGUGGAUAACCUACCUAUAAGACUGGGAUAACUUCGGGAAACCGGAGCUAAUACCGGAUAAUAUAUUGAACCGCAUGGUUCAAUAGUGAAAGACGGUUUUGCUGUCAGUUAUCGAUGGAUCCGCGCCGCAUUAGCUAGUUGGUGAGGUAACGGCUUACCAAGGCGACUAGGCGUAACCGAGCUGCGAGGGGGGUCGGCCACACUGGAGCGGAGACACGGUCCAGACUCCUACGGGAGGCAGCAGUAUGGAAUCUGCCGCAAUGGUCGAAAGCCUUACGGAGCAACGCCGCGUGAGUGAUGAAGGUCUUCGGAUCGUAAAACUCUGUUAUUAGGGAAGAACAAAUGUGUAAGUAACUAUGCACGUCUUGACGGUACCUAAUCAGAAAGCCACGGCUAACUACGUG